CGCGCCUCCGCGGUGCGCAGAUGGCGGCGGGCGCAGCCACGGGAAGCCUCGCUCUGCUCUCCAGCGAUGCGCCCUGGCGCCCGGGCAGGGUGCCAUCUUUUAGGGACACCCAUUCCGGAACAAAGCAGGUGUCUGGCCAAUGAAAACACUCCAUCCUCAUGGUAAACCUGUGAGACAGACAUGACAUAAAGUUGUCCCAUUUGAUGAUGAAGGAAACAGAGGCUCCAAGUAGGUAACUGAUGCGCCCAGGAUCAUACAGAUUGUAAAGGAUGAAAACAGAACUCAAAUCCAAGGCUCUGAGAGACCUGGCCUCAUUAUCUCAUGCUACUGAACUGUCCCCUAUUCUAUAACUGGUGCAAUGAGAAACCCUGGGCUGCCCUCCAUGCAGGAGCAAGUCUUCUCCUCAGAGAGGAGUACAUAGACACUAUUAACAUCCCACAGGAAGUGGUGUUUGCACAGUGCUCCUUGAUUAACGAAUCUCCAGGGAACAAACCUUCUCUGUAGGAUGUGAGGCUGUGCUCAAAAAAACUUCAUAAAUCACGCAGCCACGCUACCUGGGCUGGCAGCGGCAUGCUGGCCACCCUCGGUGCAUGGCUCGUGUUUACAACCACCAUGCUGAAGGUGGUGAUGAGAACUGGAUCCUCCUCUUCUUAUUUUUCACAUCUGAUGAUUGGAAGAAUUUUCCAUGUAUUUCUCAAUGCAUUUUAGAAGGUAUUUCUCUUCCCUUCCCACAUAUGUCUGGUGUAGGUUGCAAAGGACACAGACACAUGGCACUAGCAUCUCUUGCCCUGCACCUGUAUGGGCCAGCAAAGUGGGCAAUAGGAGUAUUCCUGGAAGAUGUCCCUAGACCAGGAUAGUAAGCGAUAGUGGCA
rnacentral:lncRNA from 1 species